rnacentral:rRNA from 1 species
UACGAAGGGUGCAGGCGUUACUCGGAAUUACUGGGCGUAAAGCGUGCGUAGGUGGUGAGUUAAGUCUGAUGUGAAAUCCCCGGGCUCAACCUGGGAAUGGCAUUGGAUACUGGCUCGCUAGAGUGCGGUAGAGGGUGGUGGAAUUCCCGGUGUAGCAGUGAAAUGCGUAGAGAUCGGGAGGAACAUCUGUGGCGAAGGCGGCCACCUGGACCAACACUGACACUGAGGCACGAAAGCGUGGGGAGCAAACAGG